UACGUAGGGUGGCAAGCGUUAAUCGGAAUUACUGGGCGUAAAGCGUGCGCAGGCGGUGAUGUAAGACAGUUGUGAAAUCCCCGGGCUCAACCUGGGAACUGCAUCUGUGACUGCAUCGCUGGAGUGCGGCAGAGGGGGAUGGAAUUCCGCGUGUAGCAGUGAAAUGCGUAGAUAUGCGGAGGAACACCGAUGGCGAAGGCAAUCCCCUGGGCCUGCACUG
rnacentral:rRNA from 1 species